UUAGAGUUUGAUCCUGGCUCAGGAUGAACUCUAGCGGCAGGCUUAACACAUGCAAGUCGAGGGGCAGCAGGGAGUAGCAAUACUCUGCUGGCGACCGGCGCACGGGUGCGUAACGCGUAUGCAACCUACCUUAAACAGGGGAAUAACUCAGGGAAACUUGAACUAAUGCCCCAUAUUCUUGCGGGAUCGCAUGGUCCUGCAAGGAAAGCCUUGGUGGUUUUAGAUGGGCAUGCGUGACAUUAGGUAGUUGGCGGGGCAACGGCCCACCAAGCCGACGAUGUCUAGGGGAGCUGAGAGGCUUAUCCCCCACACUGGUACUGAUACACGGACCAGACUCCUACGGGAGGCAGCAGUGAGGAAUAUUGGUCAAUGGACGGAAGUCUGAACCAGCCAUGCCGCGUGAAGGAAGAAUGCCCUAUGGGUUGUAAACUUCUUUUGUUCGAGAGUAAUAAGCGGGAUGCGUCCCGUGAUGAGAGUAUCGGACGAAUAAGCAUCGGCUAACUCCGUGCCAGCAGCCGCGGUAAUACGGAGGAUGCAAGCGUUAUCCGGAUUUAUUGGGUUUAAAGGGUGCGUAGGCGGACGACUAAGUCAGCGGUGAAAUAUCCCGGCUCAACCGGGAGGCUGCCGUUGAUACUGGUCGCCUUGAGUACGAACGGCGCCGGCGGAAUAUGUAAUUGUACCGGUGAAAUGCAUAGAUAUUACAUAGAACACCGAUCGCGAAGGCAGCUGGCGAGGACGUCACUGACGCUGAGGCACGAAGGCGUGGGGAUCAAACAGGAUUAGAUACCCUGGUAGUCCACGCAGUAAACGAUGAUAACUUGUUGUCGGCGAUAGACAGUCGGUGACAAAGCGAAAGCGAUAAGUUAUCCACCUGGGGAGUACGAUCGCAAGGUUGAAACUCAAAGGAAUUGACGGGGGCCCGCACAAGCGGAGGAGCAUGUGGUUUAAUUCGAUGAUACGCGAGGAACCUUACCUAGACUCAAAUGUUGAGCGACCGACCCAGAAAUGGGUCUUUCCUUCGGGACGCUUAGCAAGGUGCUGCAUGGUUGUCGUCAGCUCGUGCCGUGAGGUGUCAGGUUAAGUCCUAUAACGAGCGCAACCCCUACGUCCAGUUGCCAGCGGGUAGAGCCGGGGACUCUGGACGGACUGCCGGCGCAAGCCGAGAGGAAGGUGGGGAUGACGUCAAAUCAUCAUGCCCCUUAUGAUUUGGGCUACACACGUGCUACAAUGGCGUAAACAAAGGGAAGCAACCCUGUGAAGGCAAGCAAAUCCCAAAAAUAACGUCUCAGUUCGGAUUGUAGUCUGCAACUCGACUACAUGAAGCUGGAAUCGCUAGUAAUCGCGAAUCAGAAUGUCGCGGUGAAUACGUUCCCGGGUCUUGCACACACCGCCCGUCAAG
rnacentral:rRNA from 1 species